rnacentral:sRNA from 1 species
UUUUCUAAAAACCAAACCAAAACAACAAACUCAGAGGGUUAAACCGACCCCCAGAUCCACUAAAAACAAACAGAACAGCCCAACCCCACCCAGCUGGGAAUUCUGAGGUGUCAUACUGGAGUGUGGGGUGAGAUUGGAGCUGGAGCGGGUUUUAUUGGCUGUCAGUGAGCGAAGCAAGGUCCCUUUAACAUUUUCCACUUCUGUGCUUGCAUGUCCAGGUGGGGAGGAAGGGCUCGGCUUAACAGGGCCUGGUCCCAGGCAGUGCUGGGCCUUGGCAGUCCGGGAGAAGAGAGGGGAUCCUGGCCAGGGGUCAGAAGGCCUGGUUGUAGGUGGGAGGUCAGCCUGGGCAGGUUGCUGCUUCCACACACCAUCACUCUGUCUCACCUCCUUCUCUGCUCUCACACGCACCGACUCCACCUUGGCCUGGCAGCUACCUCCUCUGUCUCUGCCUCUUUGUCUCCUCUAUCUGCCUCUUCCAGGGGCUCCAUGGCUUCAGGGCUCAGGGCUGGACACUGGGGCAGGAUGUUUGGGGAAGCAGAGGGAGAAGAUGGGGAUGGACUGAGGGAAGAGGAUGAAGAGGGGAGAUGACCUUGGAGCUGGAGAGGAGAGGGAAUGGGGAAGGUGGGAAGGCUUGCACAUGGUGGGGAGGAGGGGCUGGGCUCCCCUUCCCCAGCCCGUGUGUACCCUGGGUGCCCUCCCCUUCUGGGGUCCCCACCUGGCUGGGCUAGGGGCUGUGGCUGACAAGGACUUUCCCUUUGGCUUUCUGCCCCUUCCUCAUUUCUCCCCGUCCCCUCCUCCCUUACUGGCUUUCUCCUCCAUUCCUCUUUCCUCUCCUUGGCUUCCUUCUUUUCUUCCUUCCCUUCCUGGUCUCCCCUCACUGCCUGCCCCUUCUCUGUCACCCCCUUCCACUCCUGCAAGGCCGCCAGCUGACCAUCUUCAACAGCCAGGCUGCCAUCAAGAUCGGGGGCCGGGAUCAGGGCCGCCCCUUCCAGGGCCAGGUGUCCGGCCUCUACUACAAUGGGCUCAAGGUGCUGGCGCUGGCCGCCGAGAGCGACCCCAAUGUGCGGACUGAGGGUCACCUGCGCCUGGUGGGGGAGGGGCCGUCCGUGCUGCUCAGUGCGGAGACCACGGCCACCACCCUGCUGGCUGACAUGGCCACCACCAUCAUGGAGACUACCACCACCAUGGCCACUACCACCACGCGCCGGGGCCGCUCCCCCACACUGAGGGACAGCACCACCCAGAACACAGAUGACCUGCUGGUGGCCUCUGCUGAGUGUCCAAGCGAUGAUGAGGACCUGGAGGAGUGUGAGCCCAGUACUGGAGGAGAGUUAAUAUUGCCCAUUAUCACGGAGGACUCCUUAGACCCCCCUCCCGUGGCCACCCGAUCCCCCUUCGUGCCCCCGCCCCCUACCUUCUAUCCCUUCCUCACGGGAGUGGGCGCCACCCAAGACACGCUGCCCCCGCCCGCCGCGCGCCGCCCGCCCUCUGGGGGCCCGUGCCAGGCCGAGCGGGACGACAGCGACUGCGAGGAGCCCAUCGAGGCCUCGGGCUUCGCCUCCGGGGAGGUCUUUGACUCCAGCCUCCCCCCCACGGACGACGAGGACUUUUACACCACCUUUCCCCUGGUCACGGACCGCACCACCCUCCUGUCACCCCGCAAACCCGCUCCCCGGCCCAACCUCAGGACAGAUGGGGCCACGGGCGCCCCUGGGGUGCUGUUUGCCCCCUCCGCCCCGGCCCCCAACCUGCCGGCGGGCAAAAUGAACCACCGAGACCCGCUUCAGCCCUUGCUGGAGAACCCGCCCUUGGGGCCCGGGGCCCCCACGUCCUUUGAGCCGCGGAGGCCCCCUCCCCUGCGCCCCGGCGUGACCUCAGCCCCCGGCUUCCCCCAUCUGCCCACAGCCAACCCCACAGGGCCUGGGGAGCGGGGCCCGCCGGGCGCAGUGGAGGUGAUCCGGGAGUCCAGCAGCACCACGGGCAUGGUGGUGGGCAUUGUGGCGGCGGCGGCGCUCUGCAUCCUCAUCCUCCUCUACGCCAUGUAUAAGUACCGCAAUCGUGAUGAGGGCUCCUACCAGGUGGACCAGAGCCGGAACUACAUCAGUAACUCGGCCCAGAGCAAUGGGGCGGUGGUGAAAGAGAAGGCCCCGGCUGCCCCCAAGACGCCCAGCAAGGCCAAGAAGAACAAAGACAAGGAGUAUUACGUCUGAGCCCCCGGCACUGCGCCCCACUGCCAGCUGCCCCUCCUGGGAGGGCCCGGGAGGAGGGUGCCACCCUCUCCCUGCCAGGGGCCUGGGGACCCUCUCCCUGGCUGCCUCAGGCUUCUCUUACGAAGAGGAAACGCAAAAAAAGAAAAGGAAAAACCCCGUGCUCGCCCCCUUCCUCCUGCCGUCCACUGCGCGGCCUCGUCAGUCCCGGGGCUGACUGUCCCUCUCAGCUCUGCGCCUGCCAGGCAGGGCACGUGCUCACAGCCCUGGGUUGAUUUAUUUUUUUAAGGGGGUAGUUUUAUUUUGGUGGGGUUGGGUGGGAAGGAAGGCUGGGGGUUUUGUAAAGUGUCCACUGCUCGUCCUGUUAAUUUUCCUCAAUUUUUCUUCUUCUUCCUUCUGUCCCUCCUGCCUUCCUUCUCUUCCCAAGCCCUCCAAUCCCCAUCCCAGGCUUGCUGUGUCUCACUGUCCCCACCCUCCUUCCCUACUUCUUUUUUUGUGUGUCUGGUUUCUCCCUUCCUUUCCUCCCUUUGGGUUUCCAGAGUCGGUGGGAGAAGGGCGGGAGGGUGGGCCCGAGUGGCCCAGUGGGUGGGUGGGGUGGGGUGGGGCAAGUGCCCCAACUCCCCUCACCAGGAGAGGCACCUGCGUGGUGCCGCCCAGGGAAGGGGCUCAGGCCUGACUGAAGGCCUGUUCUGUGUGUGCCGCCGGGCGAUGUGCAUUGAUGGGGAAGCUGCUGGAGGAGCAGGGGUGGGGGGUGGGAGGGAGGGGAAAGGCAAAUGCAGAUAUAUAUUACAGACAAAUACUCUAGAUUCCACGAGCAGCAGCCUGUGGCACCCGCUGGGCGCGGGCAGCAGGGAAGAGGGAGCAAGGCAUUGUCCACAGACUGCUGGGGUCACUUCUUUGCCCACGGGCUCCCUGCUCCCCCAGUUUUUUUUCUCUCUUUGUUAACAAAUGUGUCUGAGUCUUGGAAAACACCCCAACCCCGGAAAUGUGUGGGAAAAAGAAAACAAAAACUUUCCAAAUUCCAA